rnacentral:rRNA from 1 species
CCGCUGAACUUAAGCAUAUCAAUAAGCGGAGGAAAAGAAACCAACAGGGAUUGCCCUAGUAACGGCGAGUGAAGCGGCAACAGCUCAAAUUUGAAACCUGGCGCUUGCGUCCGGAUUGUAAUUUGUAGAGGACGCUUCUGGGCAGCGGCCGUUCUAAGUUCCUUGGAACAGGACGUCAUAGAGGGUGAGAAUCCCGUAUGUGACCGGCGCGCACCCUCCACGUAGCUCCUUCGACGAGUCGAGUUGUUUGGGAAUGCAGCUCUAAAUGGGAGGUAAAUUUCUUCUAAAGCUAAAUAUUGGCCAGAGACCGAUAGCGCACAAGUAGAGUGAUCGAAAGAUGAAAAGCACUUUGGAAAGAGAGUUAAAAAGCACGUGAAAUUGUUGAAAGGGAAGCGCUUCCAACCAGACUCCGCGGCGGUGUUCCGCCGGUCUUCUGACCGGUCCACUCGCCGCCGUGGGGCCAACAUCGUCUGGGGCCGCCGGAUAAGACCGGAGGAAUGUAGCUCAUUGAGUGUUAUAGCCUCCGGUGAUGCGGCGCGUCCCGGGCGAGGUCCGCGCUUCGGCAAGGAUGUUGGCGUAAUGGUUGGCAGCGGCCCGUCUUGAAACACGGACCAAGGAGUCUAACAUCUAUGCGAGUGUUCGGGUGUCAAACCCCUACGCGCAAUGAAAGUGAACGGAGGUGGGAGCUUCGGCGCACCAUCGACCGAUCCUGAUGUCCUCGGAUGGAUUUGAGUAAGAGCAUAGCUGUUGGGACCCGAAAGAUGGUGAACUAUGCCUGAAUAGGGUGAAGCCAGAGGAAACUCUGGUGGAGGCUCGCAGCGGUUCUGACGUGCAAAUCGAUCGUCAAAUUUGGGUAUAGGGGCGAAAGACUAAUCGAACCAUCUAGUAGCUGGUUCCUGCCGA